CAUGUUUCUGGAAACGCUGCAGCAUUUAACUUCAAUUUUAAUCUGGAUAACGCCAAAGCUUUUCCUCAAAUUCACCCCUGGAGUCAGCUCAUAGAUGCUCUGAUUUUGUCUACCAUUGCUCCUCCUUAAUAUCUCUCGCACAGGUGCCAUUGACCUUUAGAUGGGCUGUACGGUGUGGGGUUCGGUGCCAUGGAUCUGCUUCUCCAGGGACCAGGAUCUUGAGAUCUUCAGGCUGGGUUUCCAUGGAGGCAUGGAGCUGCUUUUCCUCCUUCAUAACUGCACUCAAAACAGCCCUGUUGCUCUAGAAUGGAGACUUGGGCAACUCCUUCUGGCACAGAUUUGUUCACCUCAGGUGAAAUUCAGAUAGAAGCAAGCUGCAGGCAGUUUCACCUCUAAGUCCAUGGGUUCUCAACUGGUAACGUCCUCUUAUGGAUGUUAGCCCAUGAGGUCAAUCCUGUAGCAAUCUAAGGCUUGAGAAAAAUUAAUCUUCUGGAAAAUUCCAAGAAUACAUCUUAGGGAAACUGGCUCUACCUUUAUGACUUGGAUCACACAAGGAUAUGCUUUUCAUCUUGGACUAGAACUGAGAGCCAAUGGAUGUGUUAUCUAAAACUAUCCCAGUGUGUUCACUAUACAGAGGAAGAUUCUGAGAUUCAAGACUCAAGACUGAAGAAGAUCAUUAUUUUUAUUAUUUUAGUCUUAUGCACAAAAUGAUAUCUACUGAAUAAGCAGGUUUUUAAUAGGUGACUUAUAUAUGUUAGCAAAAAUAAACACUUUGUCUUUUAGAUCUAUUCUAGUUUUUCAGUAGCUGUAGACUUAAGUGCUAACUUUUAGCCCAUAGGAUAAGAAGAAACCAAGUCCUAAAAGUAGGCCAGCACCAGGGUUCAGGCCUCUGACUUCAAGCCAAGGGCUCAUCAUCUUGAAUUGCGCACGAAUUUUUACACAGCGCCAAAGGAAACUGCCUGUACUUACUGUUGUAGGUGCUUUGCUGGAUUCAGGAUGCAGACAAGGUCCACGCAUUGUGGUUGGGUGAGGAGACUGAAGUACAGGAGACGUUACCUAA
rnacentral:lncRNA from 1 species